rnacentral:rRNA from 1 species
AGGAACUAGGCAAAAUGGUGCCGUAACUUCGGGAGAAGGCACGCUGGUGUGUAGGUGAAGUCCCUGCGGAUGGAGCUGAGACCAGUCGAAGAUACCAGCUGGCUGCAACUGUUUAUUAAAAACACAGCACUGUGCAAACACGAAAGUGGACGUAUACGGUGUGACGCCUGCCCGGUGCCGGAAGGUUAAUUGAUGGGGUUAUCCGUAAGGAGAAGCUCUUGAUCGAAGCCCCGGUAAACGGCGGCCGUAACUAUAACGGUCCUAAGGUAGCGAAAUUCCUUGUCGGGUAAGUUCCGACCUGCACGAAUGGCGUAAUGAUGGCCAGGCUGUCUCCACCCGAGACUCAGUGAAAUUGAACUCGCUGUGAAGAUGCAGUGUACCCGCGGCAAGACGGAAAGACCCCGUGAACCUUUACUAUAGCUUGACACUGAACAUUGAGCCUUGAUGUGUAGGAUAGGUGGGAGGCUUUGAAGCGUGGACGCCAGUCUGCGUGGAGCCAACCUUGAAAUACCACCCUUUAAUGUUUGAUGUUCUAACGUUGGCCCCUGACCGGGGUUGCGGACAGUGUCUGGUGGGUAGUUUGACUGGGGCGGUCUCCUCCCAAAGCGUAACGGAGGAGCACGAAGGUUAGCUAAUCCUGGUCGGACAUCAGGAGGUUAGUGCAAUGGCAUAAGCUAGCUUGACUGCGAGCGUGACGGCGCGAGCAGGUGCGAAAGCAGGUCAUAGUGAUCCGGUGGUUCUGAAUGGAAGGGCCAUCGCUCAACGGAUAAAAGGUACUCCGGGGAUAACAGGCUGAUACCGCCCAAGAGUUCAUAUCGACGGCGGUGUUUGGCACCUCGAUGUCGGCUCAUCACAUCCUGGGGCUGAAGUAGGUCCCAAGGGUAUGGCUGUUCGCCAUUUAAAGUGGUACGCGAGCUGGGUUUAGAACGUCGUGAGACAGUUCGGUCCCUAUCUGCCGUGGGCGCUGGAGAAUUGAGGGGGGCUGCUCCUAGUACGAGAGGACCGGAGUGGACGCAUCACUGGUGUUCGGGUUGUCAUGCCAAUGGCACUGCCCGGUAGCUAAAUGCGGAAGAGAUAAGUGCUGAAAGCAUCUAAGCACGAAACUUGCCCCGAGAUGAGUUCUCCCUGAGACUAUAAGUCUCCUGAAGGAACGUUAAAGACGAUGACGUUGAUAGGCCGGGUGUGUAAGCGCAGCGAUGCGUUGAGCUAACCGGUACUAAUGAACCGUGAGGCUUAACCUU